GAUGAACGCUGGCGGCGUGCCUAACACAUGCAAGUCGAACGGAGUCCAGCCUUUAAGACCUUCGGGUCAAAGAGGGGAAGACUGAGUGGCGGACGGGUGAGUAACACGUGGGCGACCUGGCUCAUAGAGGGGGAUAACAGAGAGAAAUUUCUGCUAAUACCGCAUAAGCACACACUGCCGCAUGGCAGAGGGUGAAAAGAGAAUCGCUAUGAGAUGGACCCGCGUCUGAUUAGCCAGUUGGCAGGGUAAGAGCCUACCAAAGCGACGAUCAGUAGCCGAUCUGAGAGGAUGAACGGCCACAUUGGGACUGAGACACGGCCCAAACUCCUACGGGAGGCAGCAGUGGGGGAUAUUGCACAAUGGGGGGAACCCUGAUGCAGCGACGCCGCGUGAGUGAAGAAGUAUUUCGGUAUGUAAAGCUCUAUCAGCAGGGAAGAUAAUGACAGUACCUGAAUAAGAAGCCCCGGCUAACUACGUG
rnacentral:rRNA from 1 species